rnacentral:rRNA from 1 species
AAGAAGCUUGCUUCUUGGGGUUGUAGGACACUCUAUACGGAGUUACAAAAGAAAGUUAUAAAUGAAGCGGUCUGGAAAGGCCCGCCAAAGACGGUAACAGCCCGGUAGUUGAAAUGGCUUUCCCUCCAGAGUGGAUCCUGAGUACGGCGGAACACGUGAAAUUCCGUCGGAAUCCGGGAGGACCAUCUCCCAAGGCUAAAUACUCCCUAGUGACCGAUAGUGAACCAGUACCGUGAGGGAAAGGUGAAAAGCACCCCGGAAGGGGAGUGAAACAGUUCCUGAAACCGUGUGCCUACAAGUAGUUAGAGCCCGUUAAUGGGUGAUAGCGUGCCUUUUGUAGAAUGAACCGGCGAGUUACGAUUUGUUGCAAGGUUAAGCGGAAAAAGCGGAGCCGUAGCGAAAGCGAGUCUGAAUAGGGCGCAUAAGUAACAGGUCGUAGACCCGAAACCAGGUGAUCUACCCAUGUCCAGGAUGAAGGUAAGGUAAUACUUACUGGAGGUCCGAACCCACGCACGUUGAAAAGUGCGGGGAUGAGGUGUGGGUAGCGGAGAAAUUCCAAUCGAACUUGGAGAUAGCUGGUUCUCUCCGAAAUAGCUUUAGGGCUAGCCUCGAGGUAAAGAGUCAUGGAGG